rnacentral:rRNA from 1 species
GAUGAACGCUGACAGAAUGCUUAACACAUGCAAGUCCACUUGAAUUUGGGUUUUUAACUUCGGUUUGGGUGGCGGACGGGUGAGUAACGCGUAAAGAACUUGCCUCACAGCUAGGGACAACAUUUGGAAACGAAUGCUAAUACCUAAUAUUAUGAUAAUAGGGCAUCCUAUAUUUAUGAAAGCUAUAAGCGCUGUGAGAGAGCUUUGCGUCCCAUUAGCUAGUUGGAGAGGUAACGGCUCACCAAGGCGAUGAUGGGUAGCCGGCCUGAGAGGGUGAUCGGCCACAAGGGGACUGAGACACGGCCCUUACUCCUACGGGAGGCAGGAGUGGGGAAUAGUGGACAAUGGACCGAGAGUCUGAUCCAGCAAUUCUGUGUGCACGAUGAAGUUUUUCGGAAUGUAAAGUGCUUUCAGUUGGGAAGAAACAAAUGACGGUACCAACAGAAGAAGUGACGGCUAAAUACGUG